GAUAAACCAGUGACAAGGAUGAGUACCGGCAUAUGUGUGGAAAACAGCGAUUUCUGAAUGGUGGAAGCAGAGACAAAGCAGGCUGGGAAUGCCCCUUGGAGGGAUUUUUCGAUAAUGUAGAAGAAUACGUAGUUCGGCGUUAACGGUACAAGUGGAAAAGCAUUUUUCAAAUAGAGUGGAACCGCGCGGAUACAGCGUCUCUAUA
rnacentral:ncRNA from 1 species